GGCGGCAGGCUUAACACAUGCAAGUCGAGCGGGCGUAGCAAUACGUCAGCGGCAGACGGGUGAGUAACGCGUGGGAACAUACCUUUUGGUUCGGAACAACACAGGGAAACUUGUGCUAAUACCGGAUAAGCCCUUACGGGGAAAGAUUUAUCGCCGAAAGAUUGGCCCGCGUCUGAUUAGCUAGUUGGUGAGGUAACGGCUCACCAAGGCGACGAUCAGUAGCUGGUCUGAGAGGAUGAUCAGCCACAUUGGGACUGAGACACGGCCCAAACUCCUACGGGAGGCAGCAGUGGGGAAUAUUGGACAAUGGGCGCAAGCCUGAUCCAGCCAUGCCGCGUGAGUGAUGAAGGCCCUAGGGUUGUAAAGCUCUUUUGUGCGGGAAGAUAAUGACGGUACCGCAAGAAUAAGCCCCGGCUAACUUCGUGCCAGCAGCCGCGGUAAUACGAAGGGGGCUAGCGUUGCUCGGAAUCACUGGGCGUAAAGGGUGCGUAGGCGGGUUUUUAAGUCAGAAGUGAAAUCCUGGAGCUCAACUCCAGAACUGCCUUUGAUACUGAAGAUCUUGA
rnacentral:rRNA from 1 species